rnacentral:rRNA from 1 species
UACGUAGGUGGCAAGCGUUAUCCGGAAUUAUUGGGCGUAAAGCGCGCGUAGGUGGUUUCUUAAGUCUGAUGUGAAAGCCCACGGCUCAACCGUGGAGGGUCAUUGGAAACUGGGAGACUUGAGUGCAGAAGAGGAAAGUGGAAUUCCAUGUGUAGCGGUGAAAUGCGUAGAGAUAUGGAGGAACACCAGUGGCGAAGGCGACUUUCUGGUCUGUAACUGACGCUGAGGCGCGAAAGCGUGGGGAGCAAACAGG